rnacentral:misc_RNA from 1 species
UCGGGCGCAGAAGGGGAGUAGCUCCCAGCGUUGUCGCCGUCAUGACGAGCCCGCCAUGUGCAGCGCUCCGGUGCAACGGCAACCGGCCCGGCCGGUUGCGAGCGAGACCUUCGCCGCGCAG